AUCACCGGAAAACUCCAGCCGCCGUCGUGCGAAUCCGGCGACUUCACUCCAUGGCUCGCAAAACGAUUCAUCUCAAAACUGCACACAUAAGAAAAGAGAUCAACAACCGGAUUAAGCAGCAGAAGCAACAGCAGUUUGAUAGAGACGGAAGCUAGAAACCCUAACUCAUCUUUCCCUAUAGGGAAAUGAUGAUCGAUCCAUCUUCACGUUAAUACUAGCGUUUGUCUGUCUGUCUGUCCAGAUCUGACUCACUGGUGUAAUUUUCUGCAUAAUGGCUUUUUACAUGUAUGCGCGCGCGCAGUGUAGAUGGAUAAGGACGAAGAAGAAUUUCUGGCUGAAAUCGGGAGAGAGAGAGAGGUGGAAAGGAUGAGUGACUGACAGAAGAGAGUGAGCACACCGCAGUAAGUGUAUAUUCGAGAUUAUCUAUACCAUUGUGCUGUGUGCUCACUACUCUUCUGUCAGUCUGCUUGCUCGCUAGCUAAUUCUGCCUGCCUGCCUGCCUGCCAUCAUCAUCCUUUUCUGCUUCCCAUCUCUCACGCCUCACGCUACCUCCUUCAUCAAUCUCUGGAUUAUUAUUAGGAAGAUGAUGAUGGUGAUAAGGCAAUGAAGAAGAAAGAAGCGUGACUUUUUAUGCAUCCGUGCUUGGGGAGAGGAACGAUGUGGGUUUGGAAAGGUACGCCUGAUCACUGUGCUGAUUUAACGGAAAAAUUAAAUAAAUCUUCUUCUGCAAAUAUAUUUAUAUAUAUAUAUAUACACACCAUAUCAAGCACUCUCGAUUUCUUUCUUUAUUGAAACUGUUCAUCUCCUUUUCUCUCUCUCUUUCUAUUAGUAGUCUGUCAUCUGGGUUUUUACUUUUUAGUUUCCAUAUUAAUGGUGGUCCAUAUGUAGGCAUAUAUUUAUUCGAUUACAGACUGCUGAUAUGAGAUGUAAGUGAUGAAAGAAAUCAAGUAUGUUUAGCUAGAACUGUCAUGAUUUGCUAAAUUUAUAGAAGCUUGCUUAAUAAACUUUCUUGUAUCUAUUGGGUAAUCAAUCACCACAAGCAGUUGUUGAUGAUGAUCAUUGAUCGAAUUAAUCCAUCUAUUUGAGGAGUUUUUGUGAUAUUGAAAUUAAUCUAUCAUAUUCCAUUUCAUUAAUCUUAUGUUAUACAUCAAAUAAUAGAAUUAGUAGCCAGCAAAAACGCAUCUUAUGUGGUUAAUGUUUCUGGAUUGUUUGAUUUUGCAAUGGAUUCUUCAAUCAGAUCUAAAAUGUCCCAAAUGGAAGAAGAGGGAUUCCCAUUACAGCUCAAGGUUAGCAGAUUCAUUACUCUAGUUCUACCUGUGUAGGCCACAGUGUUUAAAUAUAUACAUCGAAUUUGUUGUCUCUACAAGAGGAAUUUAUUUUAUUUAUUGAAAAAGUACAAGAGUAAAUGAGUUUUUUUAAUUAUUCUCAUCUCUUAAAAGGCUGACUAUCUAACUGUUGCCUGUUAUAACUGUUUGUUUAUUUACCAAUGACUGUGUAUGUUAUUAGACAAUUAAGGAAACAAGUGUUGCAGAUUUAGAAAUUUUAGCAAUUAUCAGACCAACUUUGAACAACAAGGGACUAUUUAUUUAUUUAUUUUUUGCAUUAGCAUGUACUUGUGUAGAUUUUAUUUUUGAAUCUAGGAAACUAGCAUUAACCCCACUUCAAUUUAAACCCGAUAUUUGAUUUCUGCAAACUUUACACUUGAGCUACAUAUUGGGUUCAUGUUUUUAUGUCGUUAUUAUUAGAGGUUUUACAAUAUGGUGAAAUUAUACAAAUGAAGGAGUUUCAUGGAUGCAGUUGGUGUAGUUCUAAGCCACCUAUUAUAUGGUAUGUUGUAUCCUUUUCAUAUAUUUUGAAGAAAAUGAGUCCUUUUUUCGUUCAUCAAGAGGUGGACGUCAGUUGGCAAGAGUUAAUAAAGUACAAACAUAAAUCGUCAAAGUAAAAACUAAAUGCUCCAAAACCUCAAAAGCUUUUUCAUAUGUUAGUUUCUUAUUCUUGAUUAAUCAUUGUCCUUCUCAUAUAUGUCUGGGUCCUUUUGAUUUCUCAAGUUAUUAAUGAUAAUCAAUAACAAUUGUCUUAAGUCAAUCUUGACAAAUAUGAUGAUUUAGAUCUUAAAUUUUGUGAUUUGACACUCCACGGUUUGGCAUCGAUCCUGGUACAAAAUUAUGGGAGAAUUUUACAGAUUUGACGGGACACUGAGACAGCAUUGACCAUUCUAUAAUGAAUUCAUGUUCUUUGAUCUCACUGUGAUUUCUUACCAUGGAAUGAUAUCUCAUCUGGGCAUAUGCAAUAUUUGUAAACCUCUCAAGUCUUAACUAAAAAGAAAACUUCCCCACCGUUAUUCUUCUUCAAAUUUCAAGCUUAUCUUUCUCAAAGUUCGCUAUCAAGCAAUGUGAUGAACAAGUCUUCGUAACUGAUGAUUUGAGCCUCACUAGAGUUAGAGAAAAGGAUAAAAAUGGCUGCCACAAUCGAGAAAAUUGGUGUUUACGCGUAAAACGGAAUGCAAGAGUGAUCGACUCCACAACCACUUCAACCUCAAGGUAACAACUUCUCCUUUCAAUUCCUUACAGAAAUUAG